GUAGGGAAUAUUGGGCAAUGGUCGGAAGACUGACCCAGCCAUGCCGCGUGCAGGAAGACGGCCCUCUGGGUUGUAAACUGCUUUUAUCUGGGACGAAAAAGGCCAUGCGUGGCAAAUUGCCGGUACCAGAUGAAUAAGCACCGGCUAACUCCGUGCCAGCAGCCGCGGUAAUAUGGAGGGUGCGAGCGUUGUCCGGAUUUAUUGGGUUUAAAGGGUGCGUAGGCGGCUGAUUAAGUCAGCGGUGAAAGACUUCGGCUUAACCGGAGCAGUGCCGUUGAUACUGGUUGGCUUGAGUGUCGGAGGGGUACAUGGAAUUGAUGGUGUAGCGGUGAAAUGCAUAGAUACCAUCAGGAACACCGAUAGCGAAGGCAUUGUACUGGCCGACAACUGACGCUGAUGCACGAAAGUGUGGGGAUCGAACAGGAUUAGAUACCCGAGUAGUCC
rnacentral:rRNA from 1 species